rfam:Schistosoma margrebowiei strain Zambia genome assembly, scaffold: SMRZ_contig0000068
GCACUGCUGAGGAGUCCCAUACUAGGAUGAAACGGCUGUCCCGUAC